GACGAACCGUGCGAACGUUGUUCGGAUUCACUGGGCUUAAAGGGCGCGUAGGCGGGUGUCCAAGUCUGGGGUGAAAUCCUCCGGCCCAACCGGAGAACAGCCUCGGAUACUGGACGUCUCGAGGGGGGUAGGGGCACGCGGAACUUCCGGUGGAGCGGUGAAAUGCGUAGAUAUCGGAAGGAACGCCGGUGGCGAAAGCGGCGUGCUGGACCCCUUCUGACGCUGAGGCGCGAAAGCCAGGGGAGCGAACGGGAUUAGAUACCCCGGUAGUCCUGGCCCUAAACGAUGGGUACCAGGCUGUGGGCUGACAUGGGCUCACAGCCGAGGCAAAAGUGUUAAGUACCCCGCCUGGGGAGUAUGGUCGCAAGGCUGAA
rnacentral:rRNA from 1 species